UCCGGCUUAUCACCGGCAGUCCCCCUAGAGUGCCCAACUAAAUGAUGGCAACUAAGGGCGAGGGUUGCGCUCGUUGCGGGACUUAACCCAACAUCUCACGACACGAGCUGACGACAGCCAUGCAGCACCUCGACUAGUGUCCCUUGCGGGAAAAGCGACUUUCGCCGCCUGUCACUAGCCGUUCGAGCCCAGGUAAGGUUCUUCGCGUUGCGUCGAAUUAAACCACAUACUCCACCGCUUGUGCGGGUCCCCGUCAAUUCCUUUGAGUUUUAAUCUUGCGAUCGUAAUACCCAGGCGAAUCACUUAACGCGUUAGCUUCGACAUCAAUCCAGCAAAGCCGAACUGACGUCUAGUGAUUAUAGUUUACGGCGUGGACUAC
rnacentral:misc_RNA from 1 species